GGGAGAUAUCGGGCCAGUCGGCCCUCCAGGCCCGAAAGGGGAUCAGGGAGCCCAAGGAGAAAAGGGAGAGAAGGGAAACCCAGGAUUUGGCAUUCCCGGGCAGCUAGGAUUGAAGGGGGAGCCCGGAGAAAGGGGAAACGUUGGUUUAUCUGGCAAACCAGGCCAAAAGG